rnacentral:rRNA from 1 species
UACGUAGGGUGCAAGCGUUAAUCGGAAUUACUGGGCGUAAAGCGUGCGCAGGCGGUUUUGUAAGUCUGUCGUGAAAUCCCCGGGCUCAACCUGGGAAUUGCGAUGGAGACUGCAAGGCUGGAGUCUGGCAGAGGGGGGUAGAAUUCCACGUGUAGCAGUGAAAUGCGUAGAGAUGUGGAGGAACACCGAUGGCGAAGGCAGCCUCCUGGGCCAACACUGACGCUCAUGCACGAAAGCGUGGGAGCAAACAGG